GAGUUUGAUCAUGGCUCAGAGUGAACGCUGGCGGUAGGCCUAACACAUGCAAGUCGAACGGCAGCACAGUAAGAGCUUGCUCUUAUGGGUGGCGAGUGGCGGACGGGUGAGGAAUACAUCGGAAUCUACUUUUUCGUGGGGGAUAACGUAGGGAAACUUACGCUAAUACCGCAUACGACCUACGGGUGAAAGCAGGGGAUCUUCGGACCUUGCGCGAUUGAAUGAGCCGAUGUCGGAUUAGCUAGUUGGCGGGUAAAGGCCCACCAAGGCGACGAUCCGUAGCUGGUCUGAGAGGAUGAUCAGCCACACUGGAACUGAGACACGGUCCAGACUCCUACGGGAGGCAGCAGUGGGGAAGUAUUGGACAAUGGGCGGCAAGCCUGAUCCAGCCAUACCGCGU
rnacentral:rRNA from 1 species